rnacentral:rRNA from 1 species
CGGGGUGCAGCAGGCGCGAAAACUUUACAAUGCUGGCAACAGCGAUAAGGGGACCUCGAGUGCCAGGUUACAAAUCUGGCUGUCGUGAUGCCUAAAAAGCAUUGCAUAGCAAGGGCCGGGCAAGACCGGUGCCAGCCGCCGCGGUAACACCGGCGGCUCGAGUGGUAACCGUUAUUAUUGGGUCUAAAGGGUCUGUUGCCGGCCGGAUAAGUCUCUUGGGAAAUCCAGCAGCUCAACUGUUGGGCUUUCAGGAGAUACUGUCUGGCUCGAGGCCGGGAGAGGUGAGAGGUACUUCAGGGGUAGGGGUGAAAUCUUGUAAUCCUUGAAGGACCACCAGUGGCGAAGGCGUCUCACCAGAACGGACCUGACGGCAAGGGACGAAAGCUAGGGGCACGAACCGGAUUAGAUACCCGGGUAGUCCUAGCCGUAAACGAUACUCGCUAGGUGUCGGCCACGGUGCGACCGUUGUCGGUGCCGUAGGGAAGCCGUGAAGCGAGCCACCUGGGAAGUACGGCCGCAAGGCUGAAACUUAAAGGAAUUGGCGGGGGAGCA